UUCAUUAAAUAAUUAAAUCAUAAUUACGAUUUCAGUUUGAUUCGGUUCGAUUUUACAGUCCGGUUUGGGUUUUUCACAUACCUAUAAAUAAUUACCUGUUUUUCUUUUGUUGGUGCCAAAAUACAAAUCAUAUUUGCCGUUGCCAAUUGUCCUUUUCUGUAACUCCUCUUUCCCCGCAGGUUAAAACUUAAAAUCACCAUGGACACUGAGACACAGAAGAUUAAAUCUCAAGAUAAAAUUGCUAAAGCUUUAGAAAAAUGUUUGAAAGAGAACGAAGGAGAUCAUGACAAAUGUAAGUCUAAGAUUGAUUCUUUUCAUUCUUCAACAGCGGCGAAAAAACCGUCGCCGUUGAGGCUCAUGAGUGGUUUAUUAACUGAUGUAUAGCACAGCACUGUUAAAUAAUUUAAAUUUGAUUAGUUUAAGAAAGAAUUUGACCGUUGGAGAAGGACUUAAAUUGACUGAUUCUUAUGUACAGUGCUAUUAAGUAAUAUAAUUGAAGUCUUAAUUCAGUUUCA